AACGAACGCUGGCGGCAUGCCUAACACAUGCAAGUCGAACGAGACCUCCGGGUCUAGUGGCGCACGGGUGUGUAACGCGUGGGAACCUGCCCUUAGGUUCGGAAUAACUCUCCGAAAGGGGUGCUAAUACCGGAUAAUGUCUACGGACCAAAGAUUUAUCGCGUUUGGAUGGGCCCUCGUUGGAUUAGCUAGUUGGUAGGGUAAAAGCCUACUAAGGCGACGAUCCAUAGCUGGUCUGAGAGAAUGAUCAGCCACACUGGGACUGAGACACGGCCCAGACUCCUACGGGAGGCAGCAGUGGGGAAUAUUGGACAAUGGGCGGAAGCCUGAUCCAGUAAUGCCGCGUGAGUGAUGAAGGCCGUAGAGUUGUAAAGCUCUUUUACCCGGGAUGAUAAUGACGGUACCGGGAGAAUAAGCUCCGGCUAACUCCGUG
rnacentral:rRNA from 1 species